GGGUCGUUAGCUCAACUGGCAGAGCAGCGGACUUUUAAUCCGCGGGUUCAGGGUUCGAUCCCCUGGCGACCCACCA
rnacentral:tRNA from 5 species